GGAGAGUAAUCACUAAGAGAUGCUGCCUCAAUGGUGGUGGUCAGCCCUUAAAUGAGGUCUUAGAGGAGGUGGAGUCGAGCUCCAUCCCUUCCAGGAGCACAGCUAGAUUACUCUCACCUGUGCUCCCACAGCUGACCCAACACUUGCCUCAGCUGAUUAAUCAGAGAUUCAGGCUGUGAUUUCCCAUACACCUAGGGAGGUGAAACUGUGAACUGCCAGUCUGUCCUGCUAAUAGGGCCCAUACACUCCGCUUUGCUCGAGAGCUGCUUUUAAACUUGGGUGCUUGCCCUGGCUCCUUGGGAUCUGCAGCCUGCUGCAGUAGAAGAGCUAUGUACUAAUAAGUUCCCAUGAAUAUGCCUUGCUGAAUCAGAAGAGCAGCUCAUCUGCAGCAGGGAGAGCAGGAGGCACUUCUGUUGAAGACUAAAAAGCACAAGCCUACCUCCACUCCAGUCUGUGGGACACAGACUCCUGUAAGGCAUCCUCAGGCAUACAGUUUAAGAGGCAGAAAGCCAAGACUCUACCUGCAGGAUACCAGGUCACACUGGUUCUGAUGAGCUGAGGGCUGGAAACAUUGGAAAACAACAUCUGAAGAAGAGCGAUGGGAACAGAACAUUCUUUGCAUGAGAAGGCUUCAUCAGCUAUACAAAGAAACAGCAUGGCUAAUUGGUCAGUCACAGGUUGUGCUCAAUGGGCAAACUUAACCACACCUUCAAUAUCUGCAUCACUUGAAUCUAUGAAACAGAUUGAAAGAACUGCAAGAACAUUUGGUAUCUUGACAUUUCAGGUACUUUUAUCCAAAUCCAGGAAGAACAAGAACAUACAACACUGAAAAAUUAUAAUAAAAGUACACGACCAUUUUCA
rnacentral:lncRNA from 1 species